rnacentral:rRNA from 1 species
UGAACCUAAACUUGGAUCGGAAGAGUGACGGAUGAUGAAACUGGCCUGUAGCAAUGUUGAAGUAUCAUUACGUGAAGACAUCGCGGAAUGAGGGUAUCUCAGGGAACUGAAUCAUUUAUAGACGUGAAGGCAUCGAAAGAAACUCAAGUCCGUCUGUAGCGGCGAGCGGACGCAGAUUUGUGCAACGCAAUAAAGUUUACAUUAUUGGGGUUGCGGACAUAUCAUAACGAUGAGGUAUCGUAAUUGAA